UCUGCUGUAGUACUGUAGUAGUACGAUCUGCUGUAGUAGUACGAUUUGCCGUAGUACUGUAGUAGUACGAUCUGCUGUAGUAGUACGAUCUGCUGUAGUACUGUAGUAGUACGAUCUGCUGUAGUACUGUAGUAGUACGAUCUGCUGUAGUAGUACGAUCUGCUCUGUAGUACUGUAGUAGUACGAUCUGCUGUAGUAGUACGAUCUGCUCUGUAGUACUGUAGUAGUACGAUCUGCUGUAGUAGUACGAUCUGCUGUAGUAGUACGAUCUGCUGUAGUACUGUAGUAGUACGAUCUGCUGUAGUACUGUAGUAGUACGAUCUGCUGUAGUAGUACGAUCUGCUGUAGUACUGUAGUAGUACGAUCUGCUGUAGCACUGUAGUAGUACGAUCUGCUGUAGUAGUACGAUUUGCCGUUUUCUGAUCUUGACCGUAAGCAAGAGAAUAACAUACUAUUCCCCCGCUGUAGAGGGGUGUCUACAGAUCCACUGGAUUAAUGAAGGGGUGUCUACAGAUACACUGGAUUAAUGAAGGGGUGUCUACAGAUCCACUGGAUUAAUGAAGGGGUGUCUACAGAUCCACUGGAUUAAUGAAGGGGUGUCUACAGAUACACUGGAUUAAUGAAGGGGUGGAUUAAUGGAGGGGUGGAUUAAUGAAGGGGUGGAUUAAUGAAGGGGUGGAUUAAUGGAGGGGUGGAUUAAUGAAGGGGUGGAUUAAUGGAGGGGUGGAUUAAUGAAGGGGUGGAUUAAUAGAGGGGUGGAUUAAUGAAGGGGUGGAUUAAUGGAGGGGUGGAUUAAUGGAGGGGUGGAUUAAUGGAGGGGUGGAUUAAUGGAGGGGUGGAUUAAUGGAGGGGUGGAUUAAUGAAGGGGUGGAUUAAUGAAGGGGUGUCGCCAGAUACACUGGAUUAAUGGAGGGGUGGAUUAAUGAAGGGGUGGAUUAAUGGAGGGGUGGAUUAAUGGAGGGGUGGAUUAAUGGAGGGGUGGAUUAAUGAAGGGGUGGAUUAAUG
rnacentral:lncRNA from 1 species